AUGGCCACGGGGAGAAUUCUGAUGCGGUCCAGUAGCUCCGGCGACCUCUACCCGUUUUUCCGAUCCAAUAAAGACGGGGGCAUGGCCUUCACCAUCUCCGGAGCAGGCGACUUGUGGCACUUGCGGCUAGGGCACCCUAGUUCUACUUCUGUUUCCAUAUUAGCAAACAAUUUCCUUGAUUCCUGUAAUAAGAGCAAUGAUUCUCGUGUGUGUGAAUCUUGCAAGUUAGGCAAGCAACCUCGUUUACCAUUUCCACAAUCUUUUUCAUAUACUACUGCUCCUUUCCAAUUAAUCCACUGUGAUCUCUGG
rnacentral:rRNA from 1 species